rnacentral:rRNA from 1 species
UGGGGAAUUUUGGACAAUGGGCGAAAGCCUGAUCCAGCAAUGCCGCGUGUGUGAAGAAGGCCUUCGGGUUGUAAAGCACUUUUGUCCGGAAAGAAAUCCUCUGGGUUAAUACCUCGGGGGGAUGACGGUACCGGAAGAAUAAGCACCGGCUAACUACGUGCCAGCAGCCGCGGUAAUACGUAGGGUGCAAGCGUUAAUCGGAAUUACUGGGCGUAAAGCGUGCGCAGGCGGUUUUGUAAGACGGAUGUGAAAUCCCCGGGCUUAACCUGGGAACUGCAUUCGUGACUGCAAGGCUAGAGUAUGGCAGAGGGGGGUAGAAUUCCACGUGUAGCAGUGAAAUGCGUAGAGAUGUGGAGGAAUACCGAUGGCGAAGGCAGCCCCCUGGGCCAAUACUGACGCUCAUGCACGAAAGCGUGGGGAGCAAACAGGAUUAGAUACCCUGGUAGUCCACGCCCUAAACGAUGUCAACUAGUUGUUGGGGAUUCAUUUCCUUAGUAACGUAGCUAACGCGUGAAGUUGACCGCCUGGGGGAGUACGGUCGCAAGAUUAAAACUCAAA